AUAAAACACCGGUUCUCUUAAAAUCACCGAAGUUAGACAACGUUCAGCCAAGUCAGUACCUAGAUGGGUGACCGCCUCGGAAUACCAGGUGCUGUAAG